GCUCAAUGUUAUAUUAUAAUAAAUAGCUGCAAUUUUGUACUAAGGUAGCGUAAUAAUUUGCCUCUUAAUUGGAGGAUAGUAUGAAUGAUAAUUCAAGAAAAAAGCUGUCUCUAUAUAAUAAAUAUAAAUUAAUCUAUAAGUGAAAAAGCUUAUAUAAAAUAAAUAGACAAGAAGACCCUGUUGAGCUUUUUCUAAUAAAUAAUAAUUAGAUUUUGUUGGGGCAACAUAAAUUAUUUUAAUCAAUUUUUAAUUCUAAAGAACAAUUUCAAUUAAAAUAUCUUAUUUUAUAAAAUAUUAAAAAGUUACCACAGGGAUAACAGGCUAAUUUUUUUUAAGAGUUCAAAUUAACAAAAAAGUUUGGCACCUCGAUGUUGGCUUAAGAUUUCUUUUAAAUGCAGCAAUUUAAAAUGUUGG
rnacentral:rRNA from 1 species